AUGGAGGAGGCCUGCGAGAUCGCGCGCCUGCCGGAGGAGCUCCUCUCGGCGGCGCUCGCCCGCACCUCCCCGCGCGACGCCUGCCGCGCAGCCGCCAUCUCCCCGGCCUUCCGCGCCGCGGCCGACUCCGACGCCGUCUGGGCCGGCUUCCUGCCCCCCGGCGGCCUCCCGCCGCUCGCCGACGGGGAGCUGGCUGCCCCCGCCCCGCCCUCCUCCAAGAAGGAGCUCUUCCUCCGCCUCUCCGCCGGCCCCGCCCUCCUCCAGGACAAGCUCGUGAGCGUGUGGGUGGACAGGGAGACCGGCGCCAAGUGCUACAUGCUGUCCGCCAGGAACCUCUUCAUCGUGUGGGGGAACACGCCCGAGUACUGGACCUGGAUCCCACUCCAAGACUCCAGGUUCUCCGAAGGUGCUCAACUCAGGCAUGUUUGCUGGCUCGAGAUCCGUGGGAAGAUACACAGCAACCUGCUUUCCCUGGACACAACCUAUACCGCCUACAUGGUCUUCAAGAAAACUGAUGAUUUCUAUGGGCUGGCAUUUCCGGUCCAGGAGGCAUCGGUCAGCGUUGGAGCAACCAACUUAACCCGCAAGGUUUGCCUCCAACAUAACAAUGAUGAUGACGACGGCGACGGCGACAAUGAUGACGAUGACGACUACGAUGACUGUGGGAUGCCCGAGAACUACUGGUCCAUGAGAAGGAAUGGCCUACACAAAGAAAAUGUCGCACUCCCUCAGCAAAGGACCGACGGAUGGAUGGAGCUGGAGCUGGGCGAGUUCUUCAACGAGGGGGGUGAAGACGGCGAGGUGUCCAUCAGCCUGACGGAGGCCAAAGGUGGGAACUGGAAGAGCGGCCUCAUCGUGCAGGGCAUUGAGAUCAGACGUAAGAAAUCAGGCUGA
rnacentral:rRNA from 1 species